CCUACGGGAGGCAGCAGUAGGGAAUUUUCGUCAAUGGGCGCAAGCCUGAACGAGCAAUGCCGCGUGAACGAGGAAGGUCUUCGGAUCGUAAAGUUCUGUUGAAGGGGAAAAAGAGCGGAGAGAGGAAAUGGUCUCCGAUUGAUAUUACCCUUCGAGGACGUCACGGCUAACUACGUGCCAGCAGCCGCGGUAAUACGUAGGUGGCGAGCGUUAUCCGGAAUGAUUGGGCGUAAAGGGUGCGUAGGCGGCCUGCUAAGUCUGGCGUGAAAGGUACCGGCUCAACCGGUACAGGCUCUGGAAACUGGCGGGCUAGAGAGCAGGAGAGGGCGGUGGAACUCCAUGUGUAGCGGUAAAAUGCGUAGAUAUAUGGAAGAACACCAGUGGCGAAGGCGGCCGCCUGGCCUGUUACUGACGCUGAGGCACGAAAGCGUGGGGAGCAAAUAGGAUUAGAUACCCCAGUAGUC
rnacentral:rRNA from 1 species